UAAUUACCAGCAUCCUAAUCCACAGUAUAUAAAUCAACCAAAUCUAAACUCUCAAUCCACACAUCUAAAACACUUACACAACUAUUAGAACUGCAAAGCUCUAUUGAGAGACAUGGAUAAGUCAUCUAUGAAGCUUGUUUUUUUGGUUGUGUUGUUGAUUUUCAUCGCAGGUACUUAGUUUUUUUUCUUAGAAUACUAUCGCGUGAAUACGAUUUUAAGAAUAUUUGAUAAAUAUGAUUUGACGAUGCAAUUGUUAUAGGUGAGACUUCGAACAUCGGAGCAGAAGGAAGCAGAGUCGACCAACAGGGCACAACAUGCCAAGUCUGCCAUCCACCAUGCGCGUGCUUGAAUGGAAGUUGCUUGUGCCCCAAGCUCGAUUCGCCACCGGAAUUUGGGUGUACUCCUAAGUCAUGUAAACCACCAUGUUACUGCUUUGAUCUUAACUGCAGAUGUCCCUGAACCCCUCAGGAUGCAAGCUUUGAUCUUUACUUGUUUGUCUAGCUAGGUUAUCAAAUAAACUCUUAUCUAUUUUCUCAUUAUCAUCAAUAAAAUGAAAAUGUAGUUUUCUUAAUGACGAAUUCGAAUCAGAUCAGACAGUCUGGCCGAUUCGGUCCGGUUCUGUUUCAGUUACGGACAGUUCAUUUAUAAAGAUCA
rnacentral:lncRNA from 1 species